UGAAGAAUGCUUGAGUGGUUGGUCUUGCCUUCUUAGGCCUCCGCCAUCCCUAGAAGUAUGCUCCAGGGAUCUGCUGACUGACUCUGUCUGACCUAUAAAAGAGCACAGUGUGAAGGAACAGUGCCAACUCACAAAUUACAGCUGAAGAGGAAUCAACCAGCCAAACCCAACUUGUGUGACCCAUGCCAAUAGCUGACAGACUGUGGAAUAAGAAUUCGCAUCUCUGGUGGUCUCUUGGGGGUCUUGUGACCAGAGCACAACAGUACUGGAGGAGUAGCUGAGAGUCCUACAUCUUGCAGGCAACAGGAAGUUGACCGAGAGUCACAUCAAGGGGAAGCUGAAGCAAAAGAGACCUCAAAGCCGACCCCCACAGGGACACACUUCCUCCAACAAAACCACACCUCCUAACAGUGCCAUUUCCUUUGGGGGCCAUUUUCUUUCACACCACCACACAGACCAUCAUGCAGCUACAGUGCUUCUGUUGCUGUCGUUGAACAAAGAAGGUGAAGGUGAAAAUCAACUGGUUAUCAAAAUGUUCAAAAGUAAAAUUAUUCACAGCGUGCCAAAGUACAUGAUGAUGAGUUUUUAAAUAUGGCUUCUUGAGCUUGUACUAUUGGAGAUCACUUUGAGGGUAUUCAUUGGCGUAUCAUCCCUAUCUUUUAAUUUGCCAUAAAAGAACCUCCAUUUUCCCCUUAGAAUGCUUCUUAAAAUUUACAUAAUAAAUUCAAGCCGGCUGUA